UGAUGUUUAGAUGUUCAUACUUGACUC
rnacentral:piRNA from 1 species